UGACACACAACAUUCAAUUAUUGGGCAAAAAAAAUGGAAUGUGUAAAUAAGCCUUAAACCCCUCCUAUCUCCCAGGAAUCUUUGCGGGCGUGGUUGAGCGAUCGUAUCAUACGAGAACUUAAAAAUCGACCGCGAAUUUGAACAGUGUUAUCAAUCCACAGAAAUCUGAAACCAUCUUAGCAUCGUAAGCUUUCUAUCAUCACCUUGAUAUUCGUAAUCAAAUUUCUUAUAACUUUGGACAAAAACUUUCGAACAAACUCGAAUGUAGAAUGGAUUUUCAAGGCCUUGUUUUGGUCUUGUGAUGGCCGAGUCAAGUUCUUCAGAGAAGCGUCCUCCUAAAAAGAAAGGCGGGCGAUCGAAAAGACAAGAAAAGCUCAAAAGUUAUUUAUCAAAAGGAAUCUAUUAGAGACCUUUGGAGAGCACGUAAGAUUUCCAAGGGCUUCCAACGACUGACCGACAACGAGUUUGCCGAAGUUUUACUCCAUUCAUGUCCUUUGAAUCCUCAACACUCUUUCGCUGAGGGAAUCACAGCAGAAGUCGGAUCAACAAACCUGUUGACUUUCCGUCCUCAGCAAGGCAUCAAAUGUUAAGGACUGUGAAGCCC